AAAGGUAGCGUAAUCAUUAGUUUUUUAAUUGAAAGCUGUAUGAAUGGUUGGACGAGGUAUAUACUGUCUUUAUUUAAUUUAUGGUAGAAUUUAACUUUUGAGUGAAAAGGCUUAAAUGUUAUUAAUAGACGAGAAGACCCUAUAGAUCUUUAUAUGUUGAUUUAUUAAUUAUGUUAAGAUUAUUUAUAAAUAAAUAAUUUAAUGUAUUUUAUUGGGGUAAUAUAAAGAUUAAUAUAAUUCUUUGAAUAUUAAAACAAUAAUAAAUGAAUAAUUGAUCCAUUAAUAUUGAUUGUAAGAUUAAGUUACCUUAGGGAUAACAGCGUAAUUUUUUUUGAGAGUUCAUAUCGAUAAAAAAGU
rnacentral:rRNA from 1 species